UGCCCAGCAACUCCUAUCCCUACCUCCACGCGGUACCGGCAGGGAACUAUGAGCAACCUUAGGGAAGAUCGGGUAACCAACCCCGGUGGGAACUUUGAUCGUAGGCUGACAGGGAAGG
rfam:Aedes albopictus isolate Foshan contig57046, whole genome shotgun sequence.